UACGUAGGGUGCGAGCGUUGUUCGGAAUUAUUGGGCGUAAAGGGUGCGUAGGCGGUUUGGUAAGUCUGAUGUGAAAUCUAUGGGCUCAACUCAUAGUCUGCAUCGGAAACUGCCGGGCUUGAGUAUGGGAGAGGUGAGUGGAAUUCCUGGUGUAGCGGUGAAAUGCGUAGAUAUCAGGAGGAACACCUGUGGCGAAAGCGGCUCACUGGACCAUAACUGACGCUGAUGCACGAAAGCUAGGGGAGCAAACAGG
rnacentral:rRNA from 1 species